rnacentral:lncRNA from 1 species
GGAGAGUGUCAGUUGGAAGAUUCACCUGGUAAAAUGGGAGAAGACAGGCAAACUGAACCUGAGCACAGGCUGAGUGAGUUUCAUUCUCAAAUUCAGUAUAAAGAUUAAAGAAGAGAAUCCCCUUCAUGUCCUCUGAUCUCCACACUUCAUGCCUGUAGUGCCCAAUAAUAAACAAACAAACAAGCAUUAAGUAUCUUCCAUGAGGGCUAGCGAGAUGCUUUAGUGAUUAAGAACACGUACUGUUCUUGCAGAAGACCAGACUUUAGGUUCUAUCAUCUCAUCAGAUGGCUCACAACUGUGAAAGUGGAAGGAAGCCUCAAAGCAACAUCUGAGUUUGUCUUCUGACCUCCACAUCUGCCUGCUGUGUGCACAUCCACCUAUUGUUGGGAUGACAUUCCUUACUUGGUAUGAAGGUAUCUCUGGAUAAAAUGGCUAAGGGUCCUGGAAUGCCUACUGCACAACCAAUGUGUUAGCCAGUGUUACAGCCUGGUACAUCUAUCAAGAAACCCAUGUCCCAGAUGGAGGUAGAUGCAUGGAGCUUUCACAGGGCAGACGGGGGAGAGGCCCUUAACAAUAAGCAACAGGCACUGUUUAAAUUUGGCAUUUAACUCAGCCAAGAACAUAUGUACAUAAAGUUUAUCCCAGCCAGAUUAAACUCCUGAAGUCCUGCGGCACCAGUGCUCAGCAAGAUUGGUCACUGACUGAAACUUAGUUACUGACAUUGAAGAAGAACGAAGCAACAUGGAAUAAGCACUGAAGAAUCUAAUGGAUUUCAUACUUUGUUCUUUUCCUCAUGUUCCUGGGGAUGGAAUUCAAGCCUCAGGAACAGCAGACUAAUUUCUUCAUCAAUAUUUUUGAUGACUAAUUCAAGCAUCAGUUCAACAAUCUCUCCAGGAAUUUAGCUGUCUAUAUUCAAUCCCACCUCUGAGACCCAUGAAAUUUCUCCUUAUAAGAAGAGGAACCACUUUUGUCCUUCUGAUGUGGUUUAUGGUCUGUAACGACUGCUCUCAUCCAUCCUGGCAAGCUACCAUUCUCCAUGCAGCUUCACAGGAAAUUGGAACUUUGGAGAAUUACUCCAAGAAAGCCAUAAAAUAUGAAGAGCUGUAAAGGUACUAGGAAAUGUUCCUUUGACUCAAACUGCACACUAUUGACUGGAUAUGCUCAGAGAUGACCUGGAAUAGACUGACUCUGUGCAGAGAGACAGAGAGAGAGAGACAAGAGGAGCCCUCAGUCAUCCAGGUGCAUUUGCUUAUAUGAAUCCAGCCUAAUGGAAGAGGACCCAGUUCUUCCCUGAGGAAGAAGAGCUCCUCCUCAUUGUGAGCAUAACAAAAAUCCGGGCCUCCUUUCUGGAGAGAAAUGAUGAUAUGAGUUACGUGAUGCUCCUCUCCAACCUGCCAAGAGGAAACAACUUGUCACAAUUCUUAGAGGUCUCAGACCCCUUCUUUUACAACACACAUGAAGCCCAGCCCAUACCAGUGAUUGUAUCUCAUUGGUUUUGUUUAUUUGGUUGGUUGGUUUGGUUUGGUUUUAUUUUUUUUUCACCUUGGUAUUUCAAAACUGCUGGUGCUAUUCUUUUUUGCUGAGGUACAGUAUAAGAGAAUAGAUGUUAACUAGAACCUAAGAUGUCCAUCUUGACACCACCUGGGCCUAGACGUUUCCCUGUACAGCCAGUAGGUCUGCUCAGGACUCCUGAGGUGUCUAGAUAAUUUAUAUUCUAAGGCUCGCCAGAGUAGAUACUCAGACCAGGACCCAAAAGCAAUUGGGUCUUCCUCUAAUGUUUACAACUAUUCAGCAUGUCUGUUUCCCUGCCUUAUGCCUGACUGGCUGCAUUUCUGCUUUUCGGUCUGCCUUCUUUUCCUUCUAGGUAACAUAGCACUCUGACUCUGAGGCUAUUUGAGCAUGUAGAAAACCUCCAGGCUCAGUUUCUUUGUGACUGGAAUUAGUGGCAGUAGCCCCAAACUAGAAUGAAAAUUUCUAACUAUAGCAAUGAACCAAAUUAUUCAAUUCAAAGGAAUCUGAAAAGCAACCAAGUACAAAGUCAUCAAAUUCAAGAUGGCUGGGUCUUGUUAUCCAUAGUUCCUUCUGGAGGGUGAUGUGCAUGGAUAUACACCAUAGAUAUGGUCCCUGAGAGUCAUGCAAAGGCAAGGGGGAAGAAACAGUCUCAGAUCAAAAUUGUUUAUAUCUUUACCAGGGCUUUACAUAACACCCCACAUUCCCCAUUCCUUUCUUCUUGUUCUUCUUUGCUGAGGUGAGGAAUUUCUCACAAGAAUCCUGAGGGAGGACAACCUGACACAGGCCUCUAUCCUUCUAAACUGAGGUGACAGAGCCUGGUGUCUCUGAGCAGAAUUCAGUCUGGCAGCCUGGGAGAGAAAUGCAAAGUCAUUGGGAUUCUCUCCUUCAUCCCUUUCCCCAUGAUCACAGUUUUACUACAAGUUCUGGCUACUGGGGUCUGGGAGAUGAGGCCAUGGAUUUGACUGCUAGCUUGAGUGGAUGGAACGCUAUUUCUGGAUUUGACUGUCAGCUUGAGUGGAUAGAACACUUUUUCUGGAUUUGACUGUGAGCUGAUUAUAAAAGUUCCCUGUGUGUGCAGGGACUCAUUGGAAAAAGUUCUUUCCUACCUCAGAUGAGCACCGUAAGCUUCCUGGGAGGUAAACAGUCUGAGGAAAAGGGAAAAUUCUGCUGGGUUUCCCUUGGUAUGGACAUGUCUUCUCUCUUCUUAGUUCAUAUCUCCAGAUUUUUUUGGCCUCUAGACUCUGAGGUCUGGACUUGUGUUUUUCUGUGUCCUCCUGGGUAUUGCCUUAGACCUAGACAUAUAUGUGACUAACAAGGUCUAUUACUUUCAGGUAUAUAUUAAGCCAAACUACAAAUAUUCUAUAGUGUCUACCUUGAAGUAUCUAGAAAUGCAAUUGGUAUAUCAUAUGGAGCAUUUUCACCAGAGCAGUGAGACUGUGAGAAACGACAUCAGGUAUUAAGAGGUUGCAGACAAUGGAUGAGGGAGACCUUUGUGACCUCAGAAUUGCAGGGCAAGAUUAAAAAUUGUUUUGCAGUCAACUCACAGACAUAUCCAGAAAUAUUGCUCUGUCUACACAAGCUGACAAGACAGUCAGGUUGGCAAAACAGUAAAAGAUAGAACUCUUCACACGAGGUGCUGUUACUACAGCAGAGUAAGUGGAUCCAUGGACGCAGAAACCUUACAGCAUGAUAGGAGACUCGGUAUUCCCUGUGUGGUUCAGUGUUCCACACUUGAGACACCUGGCAAGUAACUCUUCCUGGUGAGCUUCAAUCUCACUCCUGUUUGGCUGACCAAGAUGCAGUGGGAACCACUUCCACUCAAAUCUAGUCCAAAUCAGAUUUGGGGACCUCUGGGGACUCACCUGGCCCUUCCACUGUGACAGUUUCUGCAGCCUCCUUAGCAGCCUGUGAUGUGCUUGGGGCUGCUUCAUCCCAGACUUUCUUUCCUGAACACACCUCUGGUGUGCUGAAGGUUCUUUUGGUACUGAAGGAGGCUGAGUUUCCUUUGAUAUUAAUGGUGCUCCAGGGCCCACCUCCCCACUGUUGUUUUCUUCAGAACCAAACAGUUUUGUAAAUAAAAAGGAAAGGCCAUUUGGAAAAUCCUGCUGUUACGAGGAUGUUUUUUAUGUCCUCCCAGAAGGCUGCCUUCUCGGCCAGUUCCACUUCUUUCUUCUUCUGCAAGAAGAGAAAGAAUUUAGGCCACUACUUCAAAUAUUGGAUGAAAAGUCUUGUCAUCCCAUACAUGAAAAAAGUGUAGUAUAUUUCAAUAUUCUAUUCUAGAGCACUUAAGGUUUUGAACUGCUCUUGGGGAGGAAGACCGACAUUAUUCAUGACUGGGGAUGUUCUAAGACUGAAAAGAGAAGACAGGAAACAUCAAAAUGCUUUGUCUGGCAUAUGCCAUUCCAGCUCUCUUGCACACACACACACACACACACACACAGUAUGUUUGCAGUGUGCAUUUGUGUGUGUUUGUCAGAUUCACAGACCUCGCUCCCUAAAGAAAUGAGUGAAUAGAGCACCACAGGUAGUGAUUCAGCUUUUUUAUUAGAUAUUUUCUUUAUUUACAUAUCAAAUGUUAUCCACUUUCUAGGUUUCCCCUAUGAAAACCCUCUAUUCACUCCACCUGUUCACCAACCAACCCACUCCAGCUUCCUGACCCUGGCAUUCCCCUACAAUGGGGAAUUUGGCCUUCAUAGGGCCAAGGGCCUCUCCUUCCACUGAUGCCUCUGCUACAUAUGCAGCAGCAGCCAUGGGUCUCGCUAUAUGUAUUGUUUGGUUGGUUGUUUAGUCCUUGGGAGCUCUGGAGGAACUGGUUCAUAUUGUGAUUCCUUCUAUGAGGCUGCAAACCCCUUCAGCAACUUGGGUCCUUUCUCUGGUUCCUCCACUGGGGACACUAUGCUCAGUCCAAUGGAUGGCUGUGAGCAUCCACUUCCAUAUUUGAUGGACAUUGGCAGAGCCUCUCAGGAGACAGCUAUGUCAGGCUCCUGUCAACACGCCCAUUUUGGCAUCCAUGAUAAUGUCUGGAUUUGGUGAUUGUAUAUGGGUUGGAUCCCAGUUGGGGCAGUCUAAGGAGGAUGAUUCCUUCAGUCUGUGCUGCACAUUUUGUCUAACUGCUUGCAUGGGUAUUUUAUUACCCCUUCUAAGAAGGAUCAAAGUAUUCACACUUUGGUCUUCCUUCUUCUGAGUUUCAUGUGGUUUGUAAAUUGUAUCUUGGGUAUCCCGAGUUCCGGGGCUAAUAUCCAUUAUCCAAGUGCAUAUCAUGUGUGUUCUUUUGUCAUUGGGUUACUUCACUGAGGAUGAUAUCCUCCAGAUCCAUCCAUUUGCCUGAGAAUUUAAAAAAUUCCUUGUUUUUAAUAGGUGAGUAGUACUCCAUUGUGUAAAUGUACAGCAUUUUCUGUAUCCAUUCCUCUGCUGAAAGAUAUAUGGGUUCUUUCCAGCUUUUGGCUAUUAUAAAUAAGGCUGCUAUGAACAUACUGGUGCAUGUGUUCUUAAUAUCAGUUGGAACAUCUUCUGGGUAUAUGCUCAGAUGAGGCAUUGCUGGUUCCUCAUUGCUGUACUAUUACACAUUGCUGUACUAUGUGCAAUUUUCUAAAAAACUAUCAAACUGAUUUCCAGAGUGGUUGUACAAGCUUAAAAUCCCACCAACAAUGGAGGAGUGUUCCUCUUUCUCCUGAUCCUUGCCAGCAUCUGAUGUCACCUGAGUUUUUUAUCUUAAUCAUUCUUACUGGUAUGAGGUGGAAUCUCAGGGUUGUUUUUAUUUGCAUUUCCCUGAUAACUAAGGAUGGUGAACAUUUCUUUAGGUGAUUCUCAGCCACUUGGUAUUCCUCAGUUGAGAACUCUUUCUUUAGCUCUGUAUCCCUCUUUUUUAAUAGGUUAAUUUCUUUCUCCAGAGUCUAACUUCUUGAGUUCUUUGUAUAUAUUGGAUAUUAGCGCUUUGUCAGAUGUAGGAUUGGUAAAGAUCAUUCCCCAAUCUGUUGCUUGCUGUUUUGUCCUAUUACAGAAGCUUUGCAAUUUUAUGAGGUCCCAUUUGUCAAUUCUUGAUCUUAGAGCAUAAGCUAUUAGUGCUCUGUUACGGAAAGUUCGCUGUGCCCACAUGCUCAAGGCUCUUCCCAACUUUCUUUUCUACUGGUUUCAGUGUCUCUGGCUUUAUAUGGAGGCCCUUGAUCCACUUGGACUUGUGCUUUGUACAAAGACUUGUGCUUUGUACAAGGAGAUAACAAUGGAUCAAUUUGCAUUCUUCUACAAGCUAAGUGCCAAUUGAUCUGGCACCAUUUGUUGAAAAUGAUGUCUUUUGUCCACUGGAUUGUUUAGCUUCUUUGUUAAAGAUCAAGUGAUCAUAGGUGUUUGAGUUCAUUUCUGGGUCUUCAAUUCUAUUCCAUUGAUCUACCAGCCUGUCACUGUACCAGUACCAUGUAAUUUGUAUUACAAUUGCUCUGCAUUACAGCUUGAUGUUAGGGGUGGUGAUUCCACAAAAAGUUCUUUUAUGGUUAAGUAUAGUUUUUGCUACCCUAUUUUUUUUUGUUAUUCCAGAUGAACUUGCAAAUUACUCUUUCUAAUUCUGUGAAUAAUUGAGUUGGAUAAUUUGAUAGGGAUUGCAUUGAAUCUGUAGAUUGCUUUCAGCAAGAUGGACAUUUUUACUAUAUUAAUCCUCCCAGUCCAUGAGCAUUGGAGAUCUUUCCACCUAAUGAGAUCUUCUUGAUUUCUUUCUUCAGAUACAGAUAUAAGAACUUCAUACUUGCUUAAUUAGAGUCACACUACGGUGUUUUAUAUUAUUUGUGGACUAUUGUGAAGGGUGUUGUUUACCUAAUUCCUUUCUCAGCCUGUUUAUUCUUUAUGUUGAGGAAGCCCAUUUGGACAAUCCUGCUGUUACAAGGAUGUUUCAUAUGUCUUCCCAGAAGGCUGCCUUCUUGGCCAGUUCCUCCUCUUUCUUCUUCUGCAGGAAGAGAAAAGAAUUUAGGCCACUACUUCCAAAUUGAAUGAAAAAUCUUGUCAGCCCAGACAAGAAAACAUAUACUUUUAUUCAGGUGUGUCUUCUUAGCCUGGUGUGGUAGGAAACCCAUACUUCUGCUUUACUCAGUUUCUAUUUUCUGUAUGGCUAGGUCUCAGUCUUUUUAGUAUCCAAAUCUAUUGUGCGUGUGUGUGUGUGUGUGUGUGUGUGUGUGUGUCUGUGUCUGUGUCUGUGUGUCUGUGUAUUUGGUGAAUGUGCACAUGUACAUGUGGAGUUCCUUUAUUGAAUCACAUACUCCACUGAAGCAGCACAAGACAGUCCUGGGAAGAGACUGAAUAGCUGACCCACAAUCCUCUUGUUUUCAGGUUCCUUCUCACACUGACCUUCUCUGCCAGGUCGUUCUCAUAUUCUGUCUUGUAUUUCUUUAGCAGUUCCCUCUUCAGACCUCUCAAAAACUAGAUUUAUAGUCUGAAAUACAUAUGCAAAAUGAAUAAUUAAAAUAGUUCCAAUGUCAAGAAAGAGAUGAGAAUAAGUUUGGGAAGGGCAACAGUCUCUCGUGCAUGACAUGAAGCCCAAUCCCAUGCCAUCUGCUGUUCUUUACUGAAGUCCUGAGGCAGCAUUUCCUACCCAUUCAUCCACUGUCAUCAUUUGUGGCUUUUCUGUGAGCAGUCAUGUACUGCUCUGGAGAUAUUUGUUCAGCCAUGUAGAGAAUGAAGAUCCACCAUGAUUAUUUUCUAUCUUUUACCAUAGGCAGCAUGCUUUGGAUAUUUUUGUUCCUUGGGGAGUUUUUCCACAUAUAGCCUAGAGGAAUAAAGCAGAGUGACUAAGCUGUGCAGAGAAAUUCAAAUGUCUCCAUGAGGCCUUGAGGAAACUUGGCCUCUGUGUGCAUGGCUUUAAAAUUCCUGGUGUUUGACAAUGCACACCCUGAAAUCCCACAUCCAUCUCCAUUCCUUUGCCUGGAGAAAGAAGUAUCCCCAGUCUUCCAUUAAACAGCCACAUUCAGCAAGCAUUAGGUAUCAAUGAGCAUAGCUAAAAUGACAUCGUGCAAGUCUGUCAUUUCAGCACUCAGGAGGCACCAGACAGAACCAUAGAACCUUGAAGAAAUUGGUCCUAUUCCUGACCUUCAAACUAGGAAAUAAAGACAGUGGUCUCCGUCUUCCUUUCCCAAUUACAGUAUGAUUCUUUGCUUCCCAUAGAAAUUUUGUAUAUUACUUACCAGGAGUGCACAUCUUCACCUCAGUGAUCACUAGGCAAUGAGAAGAGACAUGGAGUGUGCUCAGUUCUAGGAGAUGGUAUGUUGCAGGCACCUAGCCAGAUGCUGCACCAAGAGAUGUUGUGUAAUUGCUUCAAUCCUCAGGUCAGUCCAUGAUGCAAAAAAGAUUCAUAGUCCUGUUAGAAACUCUGCUUAAGAGAAGAAUAUGACAAGAAACUUAGUCUGGGAAGCUCAUGUCUGGGAGAAGAUAUGAGUCCUUGGCUAGAGAGAUUUGGUUUUGGGAAAGGGGAGAAAUGAGGGGACAUUUACUAUGAUCUAAAGAGAAUGCCUUCCGUGUACUGAAAACCCCCAGUGGAAAACAAAGAGAACACAGUUCUAAGAUUUGUACAUCACAGAGAAUGCACAUUGUGGUACCUGAGCACAUCUGCAAAAUUAAGCCUUGUCCUUUGUGAAACAGGAAAUGAUGUACCUAUUCAGCACACAGAUUUCUGAAGAUCAAUAAAGUCAUGUCCAGAAAACUUCUUCCCAGUGCCUGAGUUCCUCAGAGUCAUCUGUAUCUCUUCAUAAUCAGUUUCAAAAAGAUAAGGGCCAGUCAGUAUUGGUAAGA